CGGGUGAGUAAUACAUCGGAACGUGUCUUCUAGUGGGGGAUAACUGCCCGAAAGGGCAGCUAAUACCGCAUGAGACCUGAGGGUGAAAGCGGGGGAUCGCAAGACCUCGAGCUGGAAGAGCGGCCGAUGUCCGAUUAGCUAGUUGGUGAGGUAAAGGCUCACCAAGGCGACGAUCGGUAGCUGGUCUGAGAGGACGACCAGCCACAAUGGGACUGAGACACGGCCCAG
rnacentral:rRNA from 1 species